CCCCUAGUAACUGCGAGUGAAGUGGGAAAAGCUCAAAUUUAAAAUCUGACUGCCUUUGGUUGUCCGAGUUGUAACCUAGAGAAGUGUUAUCCGGUUGGACCAUGUUUAAGUCUCCUGGAAUGGAGCGUCAUAGAGGGUGAGAAUCCCGUCUUUAACAUGGACUACCAAUGCAUUGUGAUGCGCUCUCAAAGAGUCGAGUUGUUUGGGAAUGCAGCUCAAAAUGGGUGGUAAAUUCCAUCUAAAGCUAAAUAUUGGCGAGAGACCGAUAGCGAACAAGUACCGUGAGGGAAAGAUGAAAAGAACUUUGGAAAGAGAGUUAAACAGUACGUGAAAUUGCUGAAAGGGAAACGCUUGAAGUCAGUCGCGUUGGCCAGGAAUCAACCUUGCUUUUGCUGGGUGUACUUUCUGGUUGACGGGUCAGCAUCAAUUUUGACUGUUGGAAAAAGUUCAAAGGAAUGUGGCAUCUUCGGAUGUGUUAUAGCCUUGGUUCGCAUACAACAGUUGGGAUUGAGGAACUCAGCAGGGAAAAAA
rnacentral:rRNA from 1 species